rnacentral:rRNA from 1 species
GACAGAGGGUGCAAACGUUGCUCGGAAUUACUGGGCGUAAAGCGCGCGUAGGCGGCUUUGUAAGUUAGAGGUGAAAGCCCGGGGCUCAACCCCGGAAUUGCCUUUAAGACUGCAUCGCUUGAAUCCGGGAGAGGUGAGUGGAAUUCCGAGUGUAGAGGUGAAAUUCGUAGAUAUUCGGAAGAACACCAGUGGCGAAGGCGGCUCACUGGACCGGCAUUGACGCUGAGGUGCGAAAGCGUGGGGAGCAAACAGG